GGCGGUGGCGGCCGGGGCGGCGUGGGGGCGGGCCUCGGGCCCGGGGCCGGAAGCGCGGGCGCCGGCGCCGGCUGCGCGCUCACGUGGGCUCCCGGGGCGCUGCUUCCCCGGGACUGUCGGCCGCCUCUGCUGUCGCGGGAGACCGGGCACGAGCGCGCCCGCCCCGUCCUGGUGUGCGCACCGGCACCGGAGGGAGGAUCGGAGGCAGAAAAAUGAAGCUAAAGAGGGAAAAACCUGGACGCAUCACAGGCCUCACAGGACUCUCACAAGCAGUGCCCCAAGGAAAGAGUGAAACCACUGACCUUUCUCAUGCUGAAGCCAGUUGUUUUCCAGCGUGGUCCUGCCCCAGAGCGCGUUGGCUCCAUCCACUGCCACCAGCAGGCGGAACAGUCCCAGAGCGCUUUGCCUCUUCAGCUCUUUGAGCACCACCCCAACAGCAUCAGUGGCAUUCCGCACCCGUGUGAUGCCCUGUAGACAUACUUCUCUUGAACUGUGAUCUAAGUACAAACAAAGGAAACGAGAAUCAAGAAGCAGCUAAAGUGGCCCUGAGAACAAGCCUGAGGAGGUAGCUUGAGGAGAGUAGAUGCACGUUUGAUUUCUCAUAAAGGAUGUAAGAGAGAACAGCGUGAAAGGGAAUGAUUUUGAGCCCACUUGUACCUGAGUCUUUAAAAACUGGCUUAGAAAGGUGCUUGGAAGCUUCUGGCUUAUUUUUUCUUCCACUUGCAACCUGCCCGUGGGAACAGUGGAGAUUGUGAUACCCUGUUUCAGCCCACUCUGCAUCCUAAUCGAAGGCCUCCCCUGAGAGAGCUGAACAUGGUCAAAGUGAGCCAAGAUGCCACCAGGGAGGAGGACUUUGGCUCAUGACCACAUAAACACAGCAGGAAAGGAUACAGAGAACAUAGCGCACAGCUGGGUGGCUAAAAUUGGUGUUUUUCAGGUACUGUAUAAGUUCCAGGGCUGGGCUUCUUACCA